rnacentral:lncRNA from 1 species
AUGCAGGCUCCGCGCUCGCACACCAGGCUCCACGCAGGCUCUGUGCUCGCACGCCAGGCUCCAUACAGGCUCCGCACUCGCACGCCAGGCUCCAUGCAGGCUCCAUGCUCACGCCAGGCUCCAUACAGGCUCCGUGCUCACACGCCAGGCUCCAUGCACACUGUGCUCACACGCCAGGCUCCAUGCAGGCUCCGUGCUCGCACGCCAGGCUCCGUGCUCGCACGCCAGGCUCCAUGCUCGCACGCCAGGCUCCAUGCAGGCUCCGCGCUCACACGCCAGGCUCCAUGCAGGCUCCACGCUUGCACACCAGGCUCCAUGCAGGCUCCGCGCUCGCACACCAGGCUCCAUGAAGGCUCCAUGCAGGCUCCGCGCUCGCACGCCAGGCUCCAUGAAGGCUCCAUGCAGGCUCUGUGCUCGCACGCCAGGCCCAUGCAGGAUCCGUGCUCUCACACCAGGCUCCGCGCUCACACGCCAGGCUCCACGCAGGCUCCAUGCUCGCACGCCAGGCUCCACGCUCACACGCCAGGCUCCAUGCAGGCUCCGCGCUCACACGCCAGGCUCCAUGCUCACAUACCAGGCUCCAUGCAGGCUCCGUGCUCACAUGCCAGGCUCCAUGCACACUCUGUGCUCACACGCCAGGCUCCAUGCAGGCUCCGCGCUCGCACGCCAGGCUCCAUACAGGCUCCGUGCUCACGCCAGGGUCCAUACAGGCUCCGUGCUCACAUGCCAGGCUCCAUGCACGCUCUGUGCUCACACGCCAGGCUCCAUGCAGGCUCCGUGCUCGCACGCCAGGCUCCAUGCACGCUCUGUGCUCACAUCACAUGCCAGGCUCCGUGCAGGCUCUGUGCUUGCACGCCAGGCUCUGUGCUCACACACCAGGCUCCAUGCAGGUUCCGCGCUCGCACGCCACGCUCCAUGCAGGCUCCGUGCUCACACACCAGGCUCCAUGAAGGCUCCAUGCAGGCUCUGUGCUCGCACGCCAGGCUCCAUGCUCACACGCCAGGCUCCAUGCAGGCUCCGCGCUCACACGCCAGGCUCCAUGCAGGCUCCAUGCUCGCACGCCAGGCUCCGCGCUCACACGCCAGGCUCCAUGCAGGCUCCGCGCUCACACGCCAGGCUCCAUGCAGGCUCCGUGCUUGCACACCAGGCUCCAUGCUCACACACCAGGCUCCAUGCAGGCUCCGUGCUCACACGGCAGGCUCAAUGGAUACACUCUGA